rnacentral:rRNA from 1 species
GGGCCAGACUCCUACGGGAGGCAGCAGUGGGGAAUAUUGCACAAUGGGGGAAACCCUGAUGCAGCGACGCCGCGUGAGUGAAGAAGUAUUUCGGUAUGUAAAGCUCUAUCAGCAGGGAAGAAAAUGACGGUACCUGAUUAAGAAGCCCCGGCUAACUCCGUGCCAGCAGCCGCGGUAAUACGGAGGAUGCGAGCGUUAUCCGGAUUUAUUGGGUUUAAAGGGUGCGCAGGCGGAAGCGCAAGUCAGCGGUAAAAUUGGGAGGCUCACCCCCUCCCCGCCGUUGAAACUGCGUUUCUUGAGUGGGCGAGAAGUACGCGGAAUGCGUGGUGUAGCGGUGAAAUGCAUAGAUAUCACGCAGAACUCCGAUUGCGAAGGCAGCGUACCGGCGCCCAACUGACGCUCAUGCACGAAAGCGUGGGUAUCGAACAGGAUUAGAUACCCCAGUA